CCGACUCCUCCAGCAGUCGACCUUCCACAGUGUCCUCCAGAUUUCUCCAAUGAACAAUCUCCUAUCGUACCCUCUGGACUUUUCUGAUAAUGAGCUCCUUCAGUCGUCUAUUGGACUGCUCCAAAUGCUCUCUGGGCUUUACUAUCAGCCAAUUUUCUACAGUGUUCGAGUACUCUCCGAAUCUCUUCCAGACUUCCUCCUGUC
rnacentral:lncRNA from 1 species